GUCCCGUGGGGCGGUCUCUGCCCGCUGCUCGCCGGCCGCCUCCUGCCCCCCGACGCAGAAGCGGCUUGAGGUGAAUCCGAAACUCGGUGCCGUGGUUGCGGAGUUUGUCCGUGUUCCGGGGGGGGGAUUUGAGGUUUUGCCCUUUCGGAGCGGACAAAGCCGGCGGAGGGCUGUGGUGGUUCUCCUCCUGAAGUGCACGUACGUGUGUGCUGCAGAGAUAGCCAGUUUUGUGCUCAGUCACACGCCGCAGGCCAGAACGUAGUUAACCAAAGGAAACGUGACUAUUGAUGGGCGCUCCCGGGGAGCCAGUUUUAGCCUGGGUUGCACGCAGUGAUGGUGCAAAAAGGACAAGUGCACCGCGGCAGCGAUGCAUAGAGCCCAUAUGUUCCCUGGCUGCUGUGGUGACUCCCCGCAGGUAAGACCUGCUGAAAUACUCACCGACGAGGCUGCUACUAGGAUUUUCACAACCAUAUUCACGCUGAGGAAAAGUGCUUGUGUUGAGGCUGUUUACCAUUGCUUUUGCCCGGCCCUAUGGGGGCCAGCGUUGGACUGGAGGUGUCUGACUGCCCCAGGGAUGCUCUGCCACGGCUGAGGGUUGAACGCUAAAAGGAAGCUGUCCAAGACCCUCGUCUCACUGAGCUCCACAGCUUGGAGGGAGAAUUCUGUUAGGGGAAGUGGACUCGCUCCAAAGAGAUCAUGGCUUCAUCCCGACUAGUGGCAAGAUCUAGAGACAUUGCCAAUGUCAUGCAACGGCUUCAAGGUAAGUGGCUGACCUGGGCUGGCGCUCCCUGCCACACCCUUAUACAUGGAAGUUCCUAUUUUCUACUAUACUGAACAGUCAGAACAAUAUUUCUGAAGUUUAGUAACUUUUCUAAACUCAUCUACUGGAAAGUACUUCUAGUAUAUCUAAAGGGCUGUGAUUUUAUUUUUCCUGUGGUAUAGCAUUAACAGUGAUGCUUCAAAGCAGCUGACCUGAGCAUGGCUCCAUGGGACAGUACACUGAAUUGAAGACUAUGAGACUUUUGUUUUGGUUCUGUUUCCCCCAGGUUACCUGAUGUGUGUAUCGGUUUUCUCAUAGAAAAGAGGAUACAAAUUAUAUUCAUCCUUUUCGCAACUACAGUCAACUGGUAGAUCUUUUAUACUGAUAAACUAAUAUUUAUUAAUUUAGCAACGAGAACAGUGCUUUAUUAUAUUGUUAAGCAUUGAAGAAUUCAUAGCUCAGUGAGCUUAUCGUUAGUCCUCAAGCUGAUGACCUUUUAGACAACAUAUCACAGAAUGUCUUUGCAGUUGAUUAUUCACUAUGGUUUUAUGUUCCUAUAAUAUAGCAUUACUAAAUAAAUUUAUUGUGUUUUCUUAGAAGUUAUACA
rnacentral:lncRNA from 1 species